rnacentral:rRNA from 1 species
CCUACGGGUGACAGCAGUGGGGGCUAUUGCACAAUGGGGGGAACCCUGAUGCAGCGACGCCGCGUGGGUGAAGGAGUGCUUCGGCAUGUAAAGCCCUAUCGGCAGGGAAGAAGCAAGACGGUACCUGACUAAGAAGCCCCGGCUAACUACGCGCCAGCAGCCGCGGUAAUACGUAGGGGGCGAGCGUUAUCCGGAUGCACUGGGUGUAAAGGGAGCGUAGACGGCCAUGCACGCCAGGGGUGAAAGCCCGGGGCCCAACCCCGGGACUGCCCGUGAAACUGGGCGGCUAGAGUGCGGGAGGGGCAGGCGGAAUUCAUGGUGUAGCGGUGAAAUGCGUAGAUAUCAGGAGGAACACCGGCGGCGAAGGCGGCCUGCUGGACCGCGACUGACGUUGAGGCUCGAAAGCGUGGGGAGCGAACAGGAUUAGAUACCCCAGUAGUC